UUAGUAAUGGAAAUGGGAGCCAGUUCCAUUCUCCUCUUGAGCGGCCGCUGCUGGUCAACAAUUGCACCGCCGAAGAACGCAAAGAAAAGCUCUCAAGAUACCGAAACAAGAGGACAAAAAGGAACUUUGGCAGAAAGAUCAAGUAUGCUUGCAGAAAGGCUCUGGCUGACAGUCAACCAAGAAUCAGAGGAAGGUUUGCCAAGACUGAAGAAUCUGAGAUAAGGAGGCAAUGAUAUUAUGAUGAAAACCAGUGGUUAGAAGAAGAAUCUGCAAUUAGUUUCUUUAGAAGGGCUGAAAUGAAAUAUGUAGAAGAACGCAAAGAAAAGCUCUCAAGAUACCGAAACAAGAGGACAAAAAGGAACUUUGGCAGAAAGAUCAAGUAUGCUUGCAGAAAGGCUCUGGCUGACAGUCAACCAAGAAUCAGAGGAAGGUUUGCCAAGACUGAAGAAUCUGAGAUAAGGAGGCAAUGAUAUUAUGAUGAAAACCAGUGGUUAGAAGAAGAAUCUGCAAUUAGUUUCUUUAGAAGGGCUGAAAUGAAAUAUGUA
rnacentral:misc_RNA from 1 species